rnacentral:rRNA from 1 species
AUUGAACGCUGGCGGCAUGCUUUACACAUGCAAGUCGAACGGUGACAGGCCUUCGGGCGCUGACGAGUGGCGAACGGGUGAGUAAUGCAUCGGAACGUGCCCAGUCGUGGGGGAUAACGCAGCGAAAGCUGUGCUAAUACCGCAUACGAUCUGUGGAUGAAAGCGGGGGACCUUCGGGCCCCGCGCGAUUGGAGCGGCCGAUGUCAGAUUAGGUAGUUGGUGGGGUAAAGGCCCGCCAAGCGGACGAUCUGUAGCUGGUCUGAGAGGACGACCAGCCACACUGGGACUGAGACACGGCCCAGACUCCUACGGGAGGCAGCAGUGGGGAAUUUUGGACAAUGGGCGCAAGCCUGAUCCAGCAAUGCCGCGUGCAGGAAGAAGGCCUUCGGGUUGUAAACUGCUUUUGUACGGAGCGAAAAGGCUCCCUCUAAUACAGGGGGCUCAUGACGGUACCGUAAGAAUAAGCACCGGCUAACUACGUGCCAGCCGCCGCGGUAA